rnacentral:rRNA from 1 species
AACCUUACCUGGCCUUGACAUACUAAGAACUUUCCAGAGAUGGAUUGGUGCCUUCGGGAACUUAGAUACAGGUGCUGCAUGGCUGUCGUCAGCUCGUGUCGUGAGAUGUUGGGUUAAGUCCCGCAACGAGCGCAACCUUUUCCUUAUUUGCCAGCGGGUUAAGCCGGGAACUUUAAGGAUACUGCCAGUGACAAACUGGAGGAAGGCGGGGACGACGUCAAGUCAUCAUGGCCCUUACGGCCAGGGUUACACACGUGCUACAAUGGUCGGUACAAAGGGUUGCUACCUCGCGAGAGGAUGCUAAUCUCAAAAAGCCGAUCGUAGUCCGGAUCGCAGUCUGCAACUCGACUGCGUGAAGUCGGAAUCGCUAGUAAUCGCGGAUCAGAAUGCCGCGGUGAAUACGUUCCCGGGCCUUGUACACACCGCCCGUCACACCAUGGGAGUUUGUUGCACCAGAAGUAGGUAGUCUAACCGCAAGGAGGACGCUUACCACGGUGUGGCCGAUGACUGGGGUGAAGUCGUAACAAGGUAGGCGUAGAUGA